rnacentral:rRNA from 1 species
GACGAACGCUGGCGGCGUGCUUAACACAUGCAAGUCGAACGGAAAGGCCUGCUUUCCCUUGUGGAUUGCGGGUACUCGAGUGGCUAACGGGUGAGUAACACGUGCGUGAUCUGCCCCCAACUUGGGUAUAAGCCUGGGAAACUGGGUCUAAUUCCCGAUAGGACUGCAGGGUGGUGCCUGUGGUGGAAAACGAUUUUCUAGUGGUUGGGGAUGAGCUCGCGGCCUAUCAGCUUGUUGGUGGGGUAAUGGCCUACCAAGGCGGCGACGGGUAGCCGGCCUGAGAGGGGGGACGGCCACAUUGGGACUGAGAUACGGCCCAGACGCCUACGGGAGGCAGCAGUGGGGAAGAUUGCACAAUGGGCGGAAGCCUGAUGCAGCGACGCCGCGUGGGGGAUGACGGCCUUCGGGUGGUAAACUCCUUGCGACCGCGAGGAAGCCACCUGGUUGGAAGGGUGGUGACGGUAGUGGUAGAAGAAGCACCGGCUAACUACGUG